rnacentral:tRNA from 1 species
CGCGGAGUAGCUCAGUUGGUAGAGCGCGGCCCUCAUAAGGCCGUUGUCGCUGGUUCAAGUCCAGCUUCCGCGACCA